rnacentral:rRNA from 1 species
CAGGCCUAACACAUGCAAGUCGAACGGUAACAGGUCUUCGGACGCUGACGAGUGGCGAACGGGUGAGUAAUACAUCGGAACGUGCCCAGUCGUGGGGGAUAACUACUCGAAAGAGUAGCUAAUACCGCAUACGAUCUGAGGAUGAAAGCGGGGGACCUUCGGGCCUCGCGCGAUUGGAGCGGCCGAUGGCAGAUUAGGUAGUUGGUGGGAUAAAAGCUUACCAAGCCGACGAUCUGUAGCUGGUCUGAGAGGACGACCAGCCACACUGGGACUGAGACACGGCCCAGACUCCUACGGGAGGCAGCAGUGGGGAAUUUUGGACAAUGGGCGAAAGCCUGAUCCAGCAAUGCCGCGUGCAGGAUGAAGGCCUUCGGGUUGUAAACUGCUUUUGUACGGAACGAAAAAGCUUCUCCUAAUACGAGAGGCCCAUGACGGUACCGUAAGAAUAAGCACCGGCUAACUACGUGCCAGCAGCCGCGGUAAUACGUAGGGUGCGAGCGUUAAUCGGAAUUACUGGGCGUAAAGCGUGCGCAGGCGGUUAUGUAAGACAGAUGUGAAAUCCCCGGGCUCAACCUGGGAACUGCAUUUGUGACUGCAUGGCUAGAGUACGGUAGAGGGGGAUGGAAUUCCGCGUGUAGCAGUGAAAUGC